rnacentral:tRNA from 1 species
AAAGUUGUUAGCUCAGUGGUAGAGUGUGUGCGUUCUAUGUAUGAUGUCCUGGGUUCAAUCCCCAGCUUCUCCC